rnacentral:lncRNA from 1 species
GUUGCGGGAAAAUGAAUUAUACAUCAAGAAGGAGAAAUGUUCAUUUGCCAAAGAAGAGGUGCAUUUCUUGGGACAUAUCAUCGGGCAUGGUCACUUAAAAAUGGAUGGAGCCAAAGUAAAAGCAAUCAAUGAAUGGGAGCCACCUACUAAGGUGACGGAGUUGCGGUCUUUCCUUGAAUUGGUAAAUUACUACCGACGUUUCAUUAAAGGCUACUUAUCUAGAGCAGCCCCUUUGACGGAUUUGCUUAAGAAGUCUCAAGGAUGGGAGUGGACCGUGAAAUGUCAAAGAGCCUUUAACGAUUUAAGGGCGGCGGUCAUGUCAGAGCCGGUGUUGGCCUUAUCGGAUUUCAACAAAAGUUUUGAGGUUCAAACUGAUGCAUCAGAUUUUGCUAUUGGAGGUGUGCUCAUGCAAGAAGGUCAUCCUAUUGCCUUCGAGAGCCGCAAGUUGAAUGAUACGGAGCGGCGUUACACGGUGCAAGAAAAAGAAAUGACAGCCAUUGUGCAUUGUCUACGGGUAUGGCGUCAUUAUCUUUUGGGUUCCUGUUUUGUGAUCAAGACGGACAACGUGGCUACAAGUUACUUCCAAUCACAAAAGAAGUUGAGCCCAAAGCAAGUUAGAUAGCAAGAUUUUUUAGCGGAGUUUGAUUAUGUGAUGGAAUACAAACCCGGGAAGGUGAAUGUAGUGGCGGAUGCACUUAGCCGGAAGGCGGAACUUGCGGCAAUUAGUCAAGCUAUGGGUACCUUGUUAGAGGAAAUUAAACAAGGAUUGGAGCAUGACCCCAUGGCGAAAACAUUGAUGCAAGCCACUCGAGAAGGAAAAACAAGGCGAUUUUGGAUUGACAACGGGUUGCUAUACACCACUGGGCAACGGGUAUUUGUGCUUAAGUGGAGAAAUUUGCGGCGUGACGUAAUUCGGGAAUGUCAUGACACCAAGUGGGCUGGACAUCCCAGGAUAGAUCAGACAUUAGCUUUGAUUGAACGAGCAUAUUAUUGGCCGCAAAUGAAGGAUCAAGUUGAGACAUAUGUCCGGACAUGUCUUGUGUGCCAACGAGACAAAGUGGAGAAUAAAUUACCGGCGGGACUUCUUGAUCCUCUUCCCGUUCCGGAUCAACCAUAGGACAUGGUCACCAUGGAUUUCAUUAGUGCCUUGCCAAAGUCCGAAGGGUUCGAAUCAAUAAUUGUUGUUGUUGAUCGAUUUUCUAAGUAUGCUACUUUCAUUCCAGCCCCUAAGGAUUGCACUGCGGAGGAGACGGCAAGGUUAUUUUUUAAAAAUGCUGUGAAGUAUUGGGGGUUGCCGAAGCAUAUUGUAAGUGAUCGGGAUCCCCGCUUCACGGGGAAAUUGUGGACAGAGUUGUUUAAACUCCUUGGAUCGGAUUUGUACUUUUCAAGUAGUUUUCACCCGCAGACGGAUGGACAAACGGAACGGGUGAAUGCAUAGUUGGAGUGUUAUCUUCGACACUUUGUUAGUGCUAAUCAACGGGAUUGGGCGAAGUUGAUGGACAUAGCCCAAUUUUCCUACAACUUGUAGAAAAGUGAAUUCACUGGACAUAGUCCAUUUGAGCUUGCAACAGGGCGACAACCUACAACACCCCACACAUUAUCUAUGGUUAGUGAUUCUAACCGAAGUCCUGGAGCAAUCAAAAUGGCUAAGUCAUGGGGAGAUCAUGUGGACUUAGCAAGAUCUUGCUUGGAGAAAGCCCGGAAGCGAAUGAAGAAAUGGGCCGAUGUGAGACGAAGACCAUUGGAGAUCAAGUACUUGUGAAAGUGUUGCCUCAACAAUUCAAAGCCUACUACAAAGUUCACAAGGGCUUGGUUAGAAAAUAUGAAGGUUCGUUCCCCAUCCUAGCGAAAGUUGGAAGAGUUUCCUACCGGCUAGAUCUUCCAAGCACUUUAAAGAUCCACCCGAUUUUUCAUAUAAGCAUGUUGAAACCAUAUAGGCCGGACUUGGAGGAUCCAGGGAGAAACAAAUCAAAGAGAGCGCCUCCCAUCGUCACAAAAUCUUUUGAGAAAGAUGUUGAAUCCAUUUUGACGGAUCGAGUUGUGAGACGGAGAGGUGUUCCCCCUUGCACUCAAUACUUAAUCAAAUGAAAGGGAUUGCCCGAGUCCGAAGCUACUUGGGAAAAUGAGGGAAACCUAUAGCAAUUUGAGUCCGAGCUUCAGAACUACAUGGCGAUGAGGGCGUCGCCAAAUUCGGUGGGAGAGUGACUUACGCCCUACGCGGUCGCGUUCGAUCCGUCCCGGUAGCGGCCGCAAAACAGCGUGGACAGUACGCUGCAGCAGGACGGAACAUAUUGUUUUGGGCAAAAUGCAGGUUGCCUAAAAUUGUGCAAUUUUUCAGGGCGUUAUGAGGUUUUUAUAAGUCCCGACCCAGCCAUUUUGGGAGGAAAAAUACAUGAACCUGCAACGGGAUAUUUUGGUAUACAAGUAGGCAACUUGCACAACUUGUCCACUUGUGCCACUUGCAAGAUAUUAUCAAAGAUAAAAACUAAGCGCGAGUUGGCGAAAAUAUUAUCAAAGGUGCAAGCUAAGCACGAGUUGGCAAGAAUAAUAUCUACUAUGCAAGCUAAGAUCGAGUUGGCGACAACUUGCAAAGAAAGUUGUAAGCUUAUCCACUUGACGAUAACUAAGCAUGAGUUGUAAACAACUAGCACGAGUUGUGACCAACUAAGCAUAGGUUGUAAAGUAAUACAACUUGAUCUUAAGGAGGUUUAAGUUUUGCCUAUAAAUAUAGAUGGAAGUCUCAUUUGUAAAUCAUGUAAAAUUGAGUGAGUUUAUUCAUUAGAGAGAUUGUAAAGUUUUCCCUUUCAUAUAUACAAAGAAAGUUUCCCAACCUUACUUGUUUUCCAUAUAUCCCUUACUUCAAAAUUCUCUUCUCAACGUGGGUAUAAUUUAGCUUCCUUGGUUAAAUUAUUUGUGAGCGUGGAAAGACUGACUUAACGUUUUCUCGUGAGGUGCGGGAAUUGUCAAGCGUUAAGGCCGCACGGUUCUAGUUGUUCGGAUGUAACGAAACUAGGUCCGUGACAUGCAGAUCACUUGUGGCUCUUAUUACAACCGUCAUAACUAAAGAUCUUCCAGAUGUAGGCGGUGAUCGCAAGUAAGUUUUAAAACCAAAACUUUGCAUGAAUUGCUCUAUUUUAUUUUACCCACAAAAGGUUUUUAUUACUAACAUUUUAUUAUUGCCAUUUCUUUUCAUUUUCACUUGUGCUUUUUGAAUUUUGAGUCAUAGAAAGAAGCCAUAUCUUUUCAUGAAGUGCAAUCCUAUCUUACAUUCCUUAGGUGAUGAGCAUUCUCUCACGAUCUAACAUAAUUAACCUACUUUCCAUUGAUAUGUCCUUAUCUACAUUGGUUCAAUACUGGUUGUGAUUUACAUGCCUCGGGUGAUGUGCAUUCUUUCAGGAUCUAACUUAUCCUACUUUCCUUUGAUAUGUCCUUAUCUACUUCACAUGAUAUAGCACUCAUUUAUGAAACAUAUUACAGGCGCUCAAGAGAAGCUCGAUGAUACUUGCACAUCUCAUCUUGGCAGCGAGUUUAACUUUCACAGUAAAUUUAUUUUAUUAUUUCUAGUUGGAUUGUGAUUAAUGCAUUUUUAUUCGAACAAAACUCAAUUGUCUUUAUUUUCUCUUCUCGUUACGAAAAUAAUUACAAUUUUCUGCCCCGUUUUGUCUUAAUCUACUUGAAUUUAUCAAGAAUAAAAAUU